rnacentral:rRNA from 1 species
AUUGAACGCUGGCGGCAAGCCUAACACAUGCAAGUCGAACGAGUGGCGGACGGGUGGGUAAUGUCUGGGAAACGGCCUGAUGGAGGGGGAUAACUACUGGAAACGGUUGCUAAUACCGCAUACACUCGGAUGUGCCCAGAUGGGAUUAGCUAGGAGUUGGGGUAAAGGCUCACCUAGGCGACGAUCCGUAGCUGGUCUGAGAGGAUGACCAGGCACACUGGAACUGAGACACGGUCCAGACUCCUACGUGAGGCAGCAGGGGGGAAUAUUGCACAAUGGGCGCAAGCCUGAUGCAGCCAUGCCGCGUGUAUGAAGAAGGCCUUCGGAUUGUAAAGUACUUUCAGCGGGGAGGCGUUACCCGCAGAAGAAGCACCGGCUAACUCCGUGCCAGCAGCCGCGGUAAUUC